rnacentral:rRNA from 1 species
UACAGAGGUCCCACGCGUUGUUCGGAUUCACUGGGCGUAAAGGGUGCGUAGGCGGUCGGGUAAGUCUGAUGUGAAAUCUCACAGCUUAACUGUGAAACUGCAUUGGAUACUAUCCGGCUAGAGGAAUGGAGGGGAGACUGGAAUACUUGGUGUAGCAGUGAAAUGCGUAGAUAUCAAGUGGAACACCAGUGGCGAAGGCGAGUCUCUGGACAUUUCCUGACGCUGAGGCACGAAAGCCAGGGGAGCAAACGGG